rnacentral:rRNA from 1 species
UACGUAGGUGGCUAGCGUUGUCCGGAUUUACUGGGCGUAAAGAGCGCGCAGGCGGUCGUUCAAGUCGAGUGUGAAAGCCCCCGGCUCAACUGGGGAGGGUCACUCGAUACUGAUCGACUUGAAGGCGGGAGAGGGAAGCGGAAUUCCCGGUGUAGUGGUGAAAUGCGUAGAUAUGGGGAGGAACACCGGUGGCGAAGGCGACCAUCUGGACGGAUACUGACGCUGAGACGCGAAAGCGUGGGGAGCAAACAGG